GGUAGUAUAGUGGUUAAGCAUUUGGCUGCUAACUGAAAGGUCGGUGGUUCAAACCCACCAGCCA
rnacentral:tRNA from 1 species